CUUGGAAGGCCUGUCUCCCUUCUGUGACUGACCAUACAGGUUGUCUCACCUACAAUUUGGCAGCACAAAUAACUCUCAAUAGCCCAGGCAUGUAUUCCUGUGUAGGCAUCUGACAUCAGUGAUUUGAAUACAUGUAAAUAAGACCUCAGUGUUUGUGGAUCUGGGCCUUGAGUAUUUGAUCUGCACUGCUCGCAAUGAAAAUUUGUAGUUUCUUGGUUAAUCAGAGGUAAGUUGAGAGAGGGGUUUGAACAUGAAACCCUGAGCAUGGCACCUUCAAGUUCCUGACUAGAAUCUGAGGGACAGGAAGAAGCUUGCCUGAGUCCAGGAAGGAAUGGUAAGCCUUGUGUAUGUUUGGAUAAGACUUGGGGCUGUAGAUAGGACUUGGAGUCUGAAUAUUGGUAUGUGCAGAGUAGUGGGACACAAGUCUUCAUGAGGACGGGCAGAUCCCUUAGUGAAAUUGUCAGUAGCUGUGUUGAUACUAAUUUACCAAAGGUAAACAUUGCAUGGUCACUGUAGGUGCUCUAGCAGAGUGCAAUCUCUUCUUUGCUGGAACAAAAACUAAAUGGCAUCAUCCAUCCUGUAUUAACCUACCCUUAGUCUUACGCAAGGAUAAACUGAUGAAUGAAGCCAAAUACGGUGAGAUAGCGAGCAAAAAAAAAAAACACUGUCAAGAUUUAUCUGCAUUUACUCAGUAGCCCAGGAACAGAGCUGUGAUGGCUGUGGUGAUGAGCCUGAGGAAUGCUGCUGGCAUUGAGAGCUCUCUGCUGUGUCACACAUUCCUGUGUUUUGCAGUCACAUUAGGAUCUGAAGGAAUUAGCCCCAGGAAAGCUCAGAGUUUAUUUCAGAUUUCGCACACCUUCCAGAUCUGGCACCACCACCCCAGUGAUCUUGCACACCUCUUCAUCAGUCUUCUCAGUUCAAUGGGUAGCUGGUAG
rnacentral:lncRNA from 1 species